AUAUAUAUAUAUAUAUAUAUAUAUAUAUAUGGAGAGAGAGCAUAAAGGAAGGGUCACGGAUUGCAGAUGUCAUACACAACAGAAGCAGAAAGAAGGGUGAAAAUGCAACGGCGCCUGGUGAUUAUAUAUGCCCAACCUGCGAUCGCAGCAGUGUAUCAAGGAUUGGCCUCUUUAGUCACACAAGAAGUUGCAAAGGAUUUGAUUUGGUGAUCCCUCUUCAGAAACAUCAGAUCAAAGGAAUGUACAUGCUGCUGAUAUAGAAAAAGUUUCUGACUGCUUACAGAUCAGUGUUCUUAGUUCUGCUAUUGAUUUACUAUUGCAUAAUAAAUAAACAUGUAAUGAUCAAUCACAUUUUUAUACCAAGUUCAUCUAAUGAUUUACACAGCAUAUUAUCAGCAUUCACAGUUCAUCUAAUGAUCUACAUAUGAAGCAGCACCAUGCAGAGCUAACAUCACCUACUGAAGAGAGUUUCCAUCAUGCUUUAGCAACAAUCCAAAAACAAAAUGAAAAAGUGGUUUCUUUGUUUGGGACAAGUCCUGAAAGGCCUUCAGAAUCUGGGAGCACACUAUUGUUAACAAGCAGUGUGUCAUAUGACCAGCACAAUGACCAACAGCCUUUACUUUUCGAACCAAAGUCAGGACACUGUUCAAAGAUAUUUUAAGAUGUUGGCCUCACAUCUUGACACUUGUUAGAGUGUAAAGAUUUGACUUAACAAAUGUUAAAAUAAAAAGAGCACAUUGUGGAGGGUUGACCGUCAUUAAAAAAUUUACAUGUACUUAUUCUGUUUAAAAAAAUGUCCCUCUAACAAAUAAAAAAAAAUAAAGUAAAUAUAUUACUCUUCUUUUUUGUAAGGUUUAGCUGAUUUGCUUCACUUUCUUACCUUUUUUUUUUUUACACUUAUAAUAAACUUAGGAAAUCAGUAUUUGCUCAGGCUAUGAGCAAACCACAAACAAUACCAACUGAAAUAUACAGAAACUAGUUGACACAACAUAACCUGUGGUAAAAAAAUGGGUUAGCUGAUUUAACUAGAAAAAAAGCAGAAACAAUAGAGACCACUCUAUUUGAAAAGUACAACAAUCCAAAGUUAUGUACUUAAAAUCCAACCAAAGAAAUGAAAAAAAAGGCAAACAUAAUGGGGGGGGGGGGGGUCACUUUAUCACAUUGUCAAUGUUUGGGACUGUGAUAGAAGUUAGAAAAAAAAUUAAUAAAAUUUGUACUAAUUAAAAAUAUAUAUAAAAAAAGUUUUUUUUAAACAUUGUGUUUAUUUUUUAGAUGGCCACCAUCUCCAUAGAGACCCAAAAGACUAGACUAGACAUGCCUAAAGCCUAUCUUCUUAACUAUAAAGUUAUAUAAAAAAAUUGAAAUUUCACAGUACAUCCCCCUUAUGUAAAAUAGGCAUAUUGAUCAUUUUCUUAUAAAAUUGAUUUAAUUUUAGCUCUUUAAGGCAUUCUGCUAAAAAUUAUCUUAAUUGAUUUAUUAAACUUAGAGGAUUUGAAUUUUGCUGAUGAUAUUUAGCUUCUAUUUCAUUUUUAAAAAUGUCAGUCUAAAAUUGGGCUAGCAGGCUACUAAACCAGAUUAUGAUAAUAAAAUGCCUAGUAGAUAAUCUAUUACUUUGGAUGGAUGUCUGUUACAGUCUGUCAACAACCUGAGUUGUAUUAUGAAUGAAAAAAUGCUGAUGUCAAAGCAAUGGAUAGUAAUGCAAGAGUCUCCUCUAUACAGCUCAAGAAAAUUCAGACCUCAAAAGGCAUAUCUUUGAGAAUUUAAUUUAUAUUUUUCAAAACUGAUAGGUUUUGCACUAUGAAAGUAUGAAUUUGAUAUCUAGCUAAGAACAACUAGUAACACCUGUAAUGUAACCAACAUAAAUGGUACACACUGACUUGCUGGUCAUCAAAAUGUAGAAUGGUCUGUGUUAUUGUGUCCCGGACCUACACUUAGCAUGUAACAAAUAUAAAUAGUACACACUGACUUGAGUCCAAUUUUAAUAAUAAUAAUAUACUGUAACUUCAAGCAUUCAGUUACAAAUCACUGGUUGAAUGAGAAAAUGCUGGAUAUCCUUCAUAGCUGUUACACAAACAUAAUCCACAUAUAGAAAUACAGUUACAAAUGCAUCAAAGUGAUAUCAAAUAAUAAUUCCUUUAGAAUAAGUAUAUCUCUGGUCAGUUGAGCAUUAUCCAAAAGUUCCAUUAAAUGUUUGUUCUAAACAAUGUUUUCAAUUUAUAAUUAAGAUUUAAUGUUGGUAUAUGUUUAAAAAAAAGAAAGUCUUUUGUUUGGUAUUUAAUUCAUGUCUGAAUUCAUAUCAAUAUAAUGAAUUUUAAUGGUAAAAAGAUCAGUGGCUGUUAUUCAUCUCAUUUCUUUCUCCAGGAUUGUCAGACUUCUGCUAGAUGUUGAUCUUUUCAUCACAACACCAAUAACUUCUUCUUGGAGUCAAGAAAAAGCUAUUUAAAUUCCCUUAAAGAUCACAAAUUAAUGCUGAUGACAUAAAGCACAUUUAUCCACGAAAUCUUAUGAACACAUAAUAUUAUGUUGUACAACUAAAUAGUGGUGUCUGGAAAUUUAGGCAGUGUGUAUGUAGUGUAUAUGCUUAUUUAUUAUUUAUCUGUUUCUUAAACAUAGGCUUAUGUUCCCCGCGCUACCCAAACUAUAAUUCGGAGUGUGAAACAUAACAGAUUAACAGGUGCUAUAUUAUGUUUCGUUUAACAAAGAUUUUCUUACACUCUACAUAUUCCUCCCCCCCCCCCGAGAGGUGGGCCAGGGGUAGUGGUAAGUAUUAUAAUCACGGACUGAGAAGACCUAACGGCGAGCGAGAAAGGGGUUACGUCGUCACUAGAUCUGUGUGAGCUCAAUACAAUUUUUUCUCUUCGUGGUGUAGUCUUAAUCAUAAACAGAUAAAAAUUAAAGUUUUAAGAUACUGUUAAUCUUCUAUAAUAAAAUGCUUAUUUCUUAUAGUAAUACGUUUCCCGUACUAGAUCUUUAUAAUUUAUUGUCAUUGCUCUAUAUAGUAUAGAUCACUUACUCACAAUGCAUACUUUUGUUGAAAAGAAAAAUAAUUAAACAUAUCGUGUAGAUAUAGAUGCGUGUUUCAUUAUGUUCGUGUAUAUUUUUGUUUUAUUUUAUCAAUAUUUCGCUUUGCUUGGUGACUUAAUAGAUAAAAAUAAAUCUAAUUGUUAAUA